CGGCAUGUAGCGCAGACUGGUAGCGCUCCGUCAUGGGGUGUCGGAGGUCAGAGGUUCAAAUCCUCUCAUGCCGACCA
rnacentral:tRNA from 1 species